rnacentral:rRNA from 1 species
CAGUCGCCGCGGUAAUACGAAGGGGGCUAGCGUUGCUCGGAAUUACUGGGCGUAAAGGGAGCGUAGGCGGACAUUUAAGUCAGGGGUGAAAUCCCAGAGCUCAACUCUGGAACUGCCUUUGAUACUGGGUGUCUUGAGUGUGAUAGAGGUAUGUGGAACUCCGAGUGUAGAGGUGAAAUUCGUAGAUAUUCGGAAGAACACCAGUGGCGAAGGCGACAUACUGGAUCAUUACUGACGCUGAGGCUCGAAAGCGUGGGGAGCAAACAGGAUUAGAUACCCGUGUAGUCCCUGUCUCUUAUAA